CCCGGACCCUCGAAGCCAGUUCCUUGCGUCAGUGCCGCGGCUCUUUAACCCGAAGGGAGAUUUUUUUUUUAAAGCCAGAGGCCGUUGACGCUGGGUAGCCUUUGGCUGGGGUUGGUUAUGAACUCCGACACAGCGGUGGUGCAUACGGAAGGGUGGUAGCCGGGACGGUUCCGGUCCCUGCGAGCGUGUCCCGGGCGUCUCCGCGGAAGUUUCACCUGCCGCGCCGCUCGAUCGCCGGGACCUCCUGGGUCUCUGCUGUGCGUAGACCAGCCGCGUUCCUUUGGGUGGCCGUGGAGCACUAAAGCGGGGCUUAUUGUUUGUUUGGUUUUGGUUUUUUUUUUUGUUUUUUUUUUGCUUUUUGUUUUUGAACUGAGGAUCUAUCAGAAAUAGGCUGAAAAGACCGAGUGAGGAAGAAACUCUUUAACAGCUAUUUUUGGCAUCUUAAGGUGAUUCUCAGGAGUUGCUACGUAUCAGAAUCAACGGAGGAGUUUUUCAAAGCAGAGAUGCCAGGGCCAGUCCCCAGACCUGAAUCAGGAAGUGAGGGAGAGAGCCGACGGAGGGGGAAAAGUCCCUUCAGCUGAUUCUUAUUUCACUUCUCAACUGGGUGUGGUGCCUUACACCUGUAAUACCAGCACUUUGGAGGAAAACAGGAGGAUCACUGGAGGCCAGUAGUUCAAGACCAGCCUGGGCGACAUAGCAAGACCCCCAUCUCUACAAAAAAAAUUUAUUAAUACAAAUUUUAAAAAUAAUGUAAAGUUUAGUUCUCAUCAUUCCAUGGUGUACCAAGUACACUUUGACUUCUAGGUACUCUGUUGUCUGAGUGAGAACUAUUAGUACCAAGAAAAGCAGGACAGAUAGCAGAGUUCUGAGUCUAAUUACUAUCUAUUGGCUUUUCUGUGUCUCUAAGGCCUUUCAGGGGCACGUUGUAAUUCUAGUAAUAAACACCACAUUUGAACAGCAGUUUACAGUUGACAAAGUGCUUUCACACACAUCUCUUAAUUUUUGCAACCAGUAAAAUAUAGCUCAACAAUAAAUAGACUUCCUUAUGUGAAUGUACUGUAAUGUAUUAUCUAUUCAUAGACAAUAAGGUUUUCAAUUUUUUACUAUUAUAAACAAUACUGUGAAAAGCAUUGUGAUGCAUAAUUAUUUGCAUAUCUAUAAUUAUUUCUUCUGAAUAUUCCUAAAAGAAUUGCUGAUUCAAAGAAUAUGCCCAUUGUAAAAGUUUUUAAUAUGUAAAUUUAAAGUAUUCCAUAUGGAUUAUUAAAUUGUUUUGAUGUAUUUUGCUACUAUAAAUAAAAAAGUGAAAUUAACAUGCAA